rnacentral:misc_RNA from 1 species
UCCGGUUUGUCACCGGCCCCGAAGGGCUGCCGUAUUUCUACGACAUUCCAGGAUGUCAUGCCUGGGUAAGGUUCUUCGCUUUGCAUCGAAUUAAGCAACGCGCUCCGCCGCUUGUGCGGGCCCCCGUCAAUUCCUUUGAGUUUUAGCCUUGCGGCCGUACUCCCCAGGCGGCGAACUUAAUGCGUUAGCUUCGGCACGGAGGCCAUGACAGCCCCCACACCUAGUUCGCACCGUUUACGGCCAGGACUAC